GUCUGGGACAUUUUAUGACAUAAUGCAAAUAUCCAGCAUUUCUAUCAACUUUGAGUUUGGAAAUUCCUGUAGCCUGAGGAGAAACAAGUUUUGGAACUAAUGCCCAACACAAAAACUGAUUACCAGGAAAAACGUUGGCUCUACACUGAUGAAAACGAAUUAUACAAAUACGUAACUAAAAGCAACCGCUGGCGACACGUUUUCCCACCAAUUUCAAAGUUUAAACAGAAGCAUGUAGAAGUUUCGGGGCCAGGGAUUGAAACUGCACCACAGCUCAUCUGUUCUGAGAGAAGCUUGGGAGCCUCUGUGAGUCACCAGUUUGUCAGUCCUGUGGGCACGGUUUCAUUACUUUGCAUAGAAAGUUUUAGAAGUCUUUUCUAUAAAAGACCCUUAGGGGGACAGGGCACAUGCCACAGAAGUGACCCAAGCCAUAGCAGUGACAAUGCUGAAUCCUUAACCAUUAGGCCACCAGGAAACUCUGAAAGACCCUUUUAUAGACAUAGUAAAAUCGGUAAAGUAGUUCAAGCUGCUGCAGUGACAACACCAGAUCUUAACCCACUGAACCACCGGGGAACUCCCUUUGUGCCAUAUUUUAGAUUCUGCACAUAAGUAAUAUAUGAUUUUGGUCUUUCUCUUUCUGACUCACUUCACUUGUUUGAUAAUCUAUAGUCAUAUCUAUGUUGCUGUGAAUGGCAUUAUUCUUUUUCUUGGCCGAGUAGUAUUCCGUUGCACACAUGUACUACAUCUUCUGUACCCAUUCAUCUGUUGAUGGACAUUUAGGUUGUUUGCAUAUCUUGGCUAUUGUGAAUAAUGCUGCUAUGAACAUAAGGGUGCAUAUAUCCUUUCUAUUUAUGUGUUUGUUUAUAUUAUAGUUGAUUUUCAAUGUUGUGCUGCUGAAUGUAUCUUUCCUAUUACAGUUUUGGCUGGAUAUAUGCCCAGGAGUGGGAUUGCUGGAUCAUAUGGCAACUCUUUUCAGUUUUUAGAGGAACAUCCUCAUCCCAUUUUCCAUCGUGGAUGUACCAAUUUACA
rnacentral:lncRNA from 1 species